UACGGAGGGUGCAAGCGUUAAUCGGAAUUACUGGGCGUAAAGCGCACGCAGGCGGUCUGUCAAGUCGGAUGUGAAAUCCCCGGGCGCAACCUGGGAACUGCCUUCGAAACUGGCAGGCUUGAGUCUCGUAGAGGGGGGGAGAAUUCCAGGUGUAGCGGUGAAAUGCGUAGAGAUCUGGAGGAAGACCGGUGGAGAAGGCGGCACACGGGACGAAGACUGACGAUCAGGUGCGAAAGCGUGGGGAGCAAACAGGAUUAGAGACCCACGUAGUCC
rnacentral:rRNA from 1 species